AAUCUCCUACGGGAGGCAGCAGUAGGGAAUAUUGCUCAAUGGGGGAAACCCUGAAGCAGCAACGCGGCGUGGAGGAUGAAGGUUUUCGGAUUGUAAACUCCUUUUGUUAGAGAAGAUAAUGACGGUAUCUAACGAAUAAGCACCGGCUAACUCCGUGCCAGCAGCCGCGGUAAUACGGAGGGUGCAAGCGUUACUCGGAAUCACUGGGCGUAAAGAGCGCGUAGGCGGGAUAGCAAGUCAGAUGUGAAAUCCUGUAGCUUAACUACAGAACUGCAUUUGAAACUGUUACUCUGGAGUGUGGGAGG
rnacentral:rRNA from 1 species